rnacentral:rRNA from 1 species
GACGAACGUUGGCGGCGUGCUUAACACAUGCAAGUCGAACGGAAAGGCCCUGCUUUUGUGGGGUGCUCGAGUGGCGAACGGGUGAGUAACACGUGAGUAACCUGCCCUUGACUUUGGGAUAACUUCAGGAAACUGGGGCUAAUACCGGAUAGGAGCUCCUGCUGCAUGGUGGGGGUUGGAAAGUUUCGGCGGUUGGGGAUGGACUCGCGGCUUAUCAGCUUGUUGGUGGGGUAGUGGCUUACCAAGGCUUUGACGGGUAGCCGGCCUGAGAGGGUGACCGGCCACAUUGGGACUGAGAUACGGCCCAGACUCCUACGGGAGGCAGCAGUGGGGAAUAUUGCACAAUGGGCGGAAGCCUGAUGCAGCAACGCCGCGUGCGGGAUGACGGCCUUCGGGUUGUAAACCGCUUUCGCCUGUGACGAAGCGUGAGUGACGGUAAUGGGUAAAGAAGCACCGGCUAACUACGUGCCAGCAGCCGCGGUGAUACGUAGGGUGCGAGCGUUGUCCGGAUUUAUUGGGCGCAAAGGGCUCGUAGGUGGUUGAUCGCGUCGGAAGUGUAAUCUUGGGGCUUAACCCUGAGCGUGCUUUCGAUACGGGUUGACUUGAGGAAGGUAGGGGAGAAUGGAAUUCCUGGUGGAGCGGUGGAAUGCGCAGAUAUCAGGAGGAACACCAGUGGCGAAGGCGGUUCUCUGGGCCUUUCCUGACGCUGAGGAGCGAAAGCGUGGGGAGCGAACAGGCUUAGAUACCCUGGUAGUCCACGCUGUAAACGGUGGGUACUAGGUGUGGGGUCCAUUCCACGGGUUCCGUGCCGUAGCUAACGCUUUAAGUACCCCGCCUGGGGAGUACGGCCGCAAGGCUAAAACUCAAAGGAAUUGACGGGGCCCCGCACAAGCGGCGGAGCAUGCGGAUUAAUUCGAUGCAACGCGUAGAACCUUACCUGGGUUUGACAUGGAUCGGGAGUGCUCAGAGAUGGGUGUGCCUCUUUUGGGGUCGGUUCACAGGUGGUGCAUGGCUGUCGUCAGCUCGUGUCGUGAGAUGUUGGGUUAAGUCCCGCAACGAGCGCAACCCUUGUUCACUGUUGCCAGCACGUUAUGGUGGGGACUCAGUGGAGACCGCCGGGGUCAACUCGGAGGAAGGUGGGGAUGACGUCAAGUCAUCAUGCCCCUUAUGUCCAGGGCUUCACGCAUGCUACAAUGGCUGGUACAGAGAGUGGCGAGCCUGUGAGGGUGAGCGAAUCUCGGAAAGCCGGUCUCAGUUCGGAUUGGGGUCUGCAACUCGACCUCAUGAAGUCGGAGUCGCUAGUAAUCGCAGAUCAGCAACGCUGCGGUGAAUACGUUCCCGGG